UGUUAUAGGACCUCUGCUGACACAAGAUGU
rnacentral:piRNA from 1 species